UUCUCCACAACUCAGACGGUAAAGAAUCUGCCUGCAAUGCAGGAGACCUGGGUUCAAUCCCUGGUUGGGAAG
rnacentral:tRNA from 1 species